rnacentral:rRNA from 1 species
CACCCCAUCUCCUCUGAUCUCGGAAGUUAGCCAUCUCGGGCUUGGUUAGUACUUGGAUGGGUGACCGCUUGGGAAUACCAAGUGUGAUAAGCC